AUGUACAAAAACUGCCACCAUCUUUCAUGUGAUGUGAAAAUCUACAAUUUUCUAAGACAGAAGAUUCAAUCUACCAAUCUUGAUCCCUCGAAACUCCUCUCAGGGCUUAAAGAGUGUUCUGAACACAAGCAGCUACAAAAACUACCACAGGACAUGUCAGGAUUUCCACCAGGCUCCAUCACCCAUAAAUUAGAGUAUGUGUGUAUCUCUCCAAUGAACUAAUUUGCCAUCCUGUACUGAACAAGGGAUUUGGUGCCUAUAUCGACCAGUAUCCACCUAUUCACUGAAAUGUAACACAUCACCACCAGAAUGUUAGAUGCCAACACCUCUUGAAAACCUUUCUGAGCUCCUCCUUCCCCACAGGCACACACUCACAAGGCUGGAGCCGGAUGCCAUGGCCACCUUCACCAACUUGCUCAAAGUCGCAGUAAAACAAGAAUGCAAACCCACAGCUGUCAUGUCUGAUGACGGAUUUACUGACUUCGGAUGGCCGCUUCUCUUUUUAAUACUUUCCUCCCCCAGCCAGGAUGCGAAUGACACAGACAAGUGCCACUGA
rnacentral:lncRNA from 1 species